CAACACAGCACAGCCUGUAACUGGAAAGAAGAACCCACCAAAGUCGGCUCACCCACAUUCCAAACCUGAGAACACAAGGUUUACACAGGUCUUGCCAGAUGACUGUGCUCUGGGGACAUCCUGCGCACUGCAGUGGGACUACUUUAGCACUGUUCCUAGGCUUCACUUGGCUGUGAGUAACACCUCUCUGCAGUUGUGACAGCUGAAAAGUCUCUAGACAUUACCAAACGUCCCCUGGGGAACACAACUGCCCCAGUAGAGAAAAGACAUUUUAAUCAGAAGGAAACCUGUAGUUUUCCUGAACCGAUUCUAGGCUAGUUCUCUGGUUCAACACCAUCUGCUUGUGGUUAAGUUCUUUCCCCUAUUUUUAAUAACAUCUAGUACGACCACUGUCAUUACUCUAACAUAUAUAUAGAGAAAGAGCUUCAACACAGGACAGGGCAGGAAAAUGGCAAAAAGCUGUUUCAAAAUCAGUUGACAUGUUUGCCAAAAGACUCACGUACCCCCUUCUGAAUUCUUUUUCUGGGUUCAGACCUGCUGUUCCAAGGAAUUCUACUCACUGCCACUCUCUAGACCCAGCUAAGAGCUACCAGCCUACACUUUCACAACUGGUCUGAGGGCGCACAUGACUUUAAUCUACCUCCCUUGGUGAGCAAGAAGAGUGGCUGGGAUGUAACCCUCAUCCAGGACCACGUGGAGCCAGGGCAAAGGCGAGACUAGAACCAAGGCCAAGCUACUCUGAAGUCCUUUGACACAGAGGGCUGCUUAACGGCCCACUCUUCUUCCAAAGCCCAGCAGGGUUGGACAAAGGUGACAUUCCCAGCCCAUGAUUUCUGGCGAGCGUCCAAUGUCCUGGCCCAUCGGCUCUGAGGCCAAGCAGCAGCCUUGGAGCUGUUGUGAGGCUGUGGAUGGAACAGCCAUGUGACACCCUCACCGCCAAGUGGCCCUGGGUGUGUGACCUUUUAGUGUCAGUGUCCUCACUUGUUAAAGGGAGGACACCGAAGCUGCCUCACACAGCUUUGUUAGUGUUAAAUAAAACACGCUACCUGGAUCACAAGGGACACCAAAUAAAUGUCACCCCUCUUCCUGGGAAUCCCAGGGCCUUGUCAUACUCUGGGCAGCCACAAAAAACUGUUUCUCACUUCUUUUUUUUUGGGGGGGGGGGUGGUUUUUCUCCAGUACCGGGAACCAAACUCACGACCUUGCGCAUGCCAGGCAGGCGCUUUUGCCGCUGAGCUAAAUCCCCAGCCCUGUUUCUCACUUCUUAUUCUUCACUGUUCUCUACUGCUCCAAGGUCCCCUGGUUAGAAGUCAAGCACACUGAAUUUCAAGAGGCAGGAGACUGCCUAACAUGGACUGAAUGGUACCUGCCUUGCCACAGACCGGAGGAAAAUCCCAAGGUAUCCGCAGCUUAACCUGGUGGAUGAGAACGGGAGCUUUGAAGCUAAUCAGCCUGGGUACCAAACCUUGCUCUGCACUCACUAGCUGUGUAACCACAGGCAAGCGGCCAGCCCUCCCUGUUGCUUCAUUCCCCUCAUCUGUGUAACCCCGGGGUAACAGUAACAGUAUCUGUCUUACAGGGCUGGUAUGAGAACUGAAUGAGUUAGUGGGCGGAAACCAUUUAUUUAAAAAGUGCCUCACACACAGAAAAGUGCUCCAUAAACACUCAUUGUUUUUGUUGUGCCUUUGCCUGCCUCUGUUGGGUGGGGGAGACACAAGCCAGGCAGUGGAACUCCCUGGAACAGGGCAGAGGUAGCUAGGAACAAAGGUGGAGUUGAUGCUGAAGAACCAGCACCCUGGGCUCACAGCCUGGGGCUCCCUGGCUGACCCAGCAGCCUGCGAGCAAGCCCUGGUCUGCUCAGGCUUGUGAAGGACCUGCCCAGCCACCCAUGCUGUGGGAAAAAAGGCAUCUCACCAAACCCGCCCUCUUGCCCUCAUCCAAGGCAGUGAGACAAGCCAGAGACUGUGAUUUCUCAGCAGCUCACCUCCUGCUGGCUUCCUUUCCUAAGAUGCUCUGCUGGUGCCCAGCUGGUGGGUUCCCUCAGAUGGCACUGCCCAGAGCCCCUCACUCCUCAGCAGCCCAGCUUCCCUCAGACCCCAUGGGAAGCCCUGCAUGCUGUCAUCAGGGCUUGGGGCUCCCCUCCACAGUCUACAGGGCCCGGAGACUUCAUCCACCUCUCUCCUCUCUGCUGCCUGAUGCCUCUGUUUCAGCCACACCAAUCCCCACCGUCCUACACCAGGCAUCAGGCACACUCCCCACGCUGCGCCCUGCUUGGGCUGCCAGGCAAACCCUCUGCUAGGAAAAAUGCUUGUCACUCUCCCGCCAUACUCGGGCUCAGGGCAACUCCAAGGCUCAGACAGCCCUGCUAAAGCAGCCCUCUGUCCCUGUCACCACCCUGCUGUGCCGUCCCCAGUGCUACCUGGCAAUGCAGCCCAGGCUCACUGUCUGGCUCCCCCAGGAAAGGUUAACUUCCAGGAAGAGGGGAUUUGGUUGGUUUGUUUCUUUUUAUCACCUACCCCUGGCACCUGUCAUUUGGUAAACAUUCGACAAAUACCCACUGGACAAACGAAUAAACGAAUCUGGCCUUUUUGUGGACUUUAAACCCAGGAAGAGCCUCUACGCUCCAAAUGGAAUAAAACUUCUUUGAUA